UUCUCAGAUAUUCCUUCAGUACAUCUAGGGUUUGUAACUGGCCUUUAAUUCAGAGUAAAUAGCCAUUUUUUAGGGAGAGCAAAGAGGAUGAAAGGAUCCGAGAUGAGGAGAAGGAAGCUGCCCUUCUGUCAUGGUAUAAAAAAGGAAGAAAUACAUGGUCCACUGGAGAGCUCAGUGAAUCCUGGGAACCUAUUGAGGUUGAUGUUUAACUGGACCUCAAGCCAUUCCUCUCACUGCCCAUCCUCCUAAGUAUGAUGUAUGGCCUGAAGAAAUAAUCAUGGUGGGAACACAGCUUUUCUGAUGUCUCGAAAUUUUUGGAUAAACUAAGGAUUUGGAAGUUCAUCAUUGGAAAAGAUCAGUAGCAAGUCAUAGCAGGAUGCCAUGGAAAUGAGAAACUGAAGCGAUCAGAGAACUCAAUUUGCAGUUAAAUGGGCUGUAAACAAUCCUUACAUGUUCAUCAAAGAAAAUACUUAAAUAUUAAAUACUUGGUUGGAAGAGGGAUUCUUGUGCACCUAACCAUUUCUUAACCUCACUAAUAAACAAGGAAAUUUCAACCUCCCCAACCCCACCAAGG